CUUUUGGGUGUGACUGCGUACCUUUUGUAUAAUGGGUCAGCGACUUAUAUUCUGUAGCAAGGUUAACCGAAUAGGGGAGCCGGAGGGAAACCGAGUCUUAAUUGGGCGUUAAGUUGCAGGGUAUAGACCCGAAACCCGGUGAUCUAGCCAUGGGCAGGUUGAAGGUUGGGUAACACUAACUGGAGGACCGAACCGACUAAUGUUGAAAAAUUAGCGGAUGACCUGUGGCUGGGGGUGAAAGGCCAAUCAAACCGGGAGAUAGCUGGUUCUCCCCGAAAGCUAUUUAGGUAGCGCCUCGUGAAUUCAUCUCCGGGGGUAGAGCACUGUUUCGGCUAGGGGGCCAUCCCGGCUUACCAACCCGAUGCAAACUGCGAAUACCGGAGAAUGUUAUCACGGGAGACACACGGCGGGUGCUAACGUCCGUCGUGAAGAGGGAAACAACCCAGACCGCCAGCUAAGGUCCCAAAGUCAUGGUUAAGUGGGAAACGAUGUGGGAAGGCACAGACAGCCAGGAUGUUGGCUUAGAAGCAGCCAUCAUUUAAAGAAAGCGUAAUAGCUCACUGGUCGAGUCGGCCUGCGCGGAAGAUGUAACGGGGCUAAACCAUGCACCGAAGCUGCGGCAGCGACGUUUAUGCGUUGUUGGGUAGGGGAGCGUUCUGUAAGCCUGCGAAGGUGGCCUGUGAGGGUUGCUGGAGGUAUCAGAAGUGCGAAUGCUGACAUAAGUAACGAUAAAGCGGGUGAAAAGCCCGCUCGCCGGAAGACCAAGGGUUCCUGUCCAACGUUAAUCGGGGCAGGGUGAGUCGACCCCUAAGGCGAGGCCGAAAGGCGUAGUCGAUGGGAAACGGGUUAAUAUUCCCGUACUUGGUGUUACUGCGAAGGGGGGACGGAGAAGGCUAUGUUGGCCGGGCGACGGUUGUCCCGGUUUAAGCGUGUAGGCUGGUUUUCCAGGCAAAUCCGGAAAAUCAAGGCUGAGGCGUGACGACGAGGCACUACGGUGCUGAAGCAACAAAUGCCCUGCUUCCAGGAAAAGCCUCUAAGCAUCAGGUAACAUCAAAUCGUACCCCAAACCGACACAGGUGGUCAGGUAGAGAAUACCAAGGCGCUUGAGAGAACUCGGGUGAAGGAACUAGGCAAAAUGGUGCCGUAACUUCGGGAGAAGGCACGCUGACAC
rnacentral:rRNA from 1 species